GGGGAGGUGGCAGAGUGGUCGAAUGCGAGCGCCUGCUAAGCGCUUGAGCGGGCUUUCACCGCUCCGCGGGUUCGAAUCCCGCCCUUCCCG
rnacentral:tRNA from 1 species